rnacentral:rRNA from 1 species
AUACGUAGGGUGCGAGCGUUGUCCGGAAUUACUGGGCGUAAAGAGCUCGUAGGUGGUUUGUCGCGUCGUCUGUGAAAUUCCGGGGCUUAACUCCGGGCGUGCAGGCGAUACGGGCAUAACUUGAGUACUGUAGGGGAGACUGGAAUUCCUGGUGUAGCGGUGAAAUGCGCAGAUAUCAGGAGGAACACCGGUGGCGAAGGGGGGUCGUUGUGCAGUAACUGACGCUGGGGAGCGAAGGCAUGGGUAGCGAACAGGAUUAGAUACCCUGGUAGCCCAUGCCGUAAACGGUGGGCGCUAGGUGUAGGGGUCUUCCACGACUUCUGUGCCGUAGCUAACGCAUUAAGCGCCCCGCCUGGGGAGUACGGCCGCAAGGCUAAAACUCAAAGGAAUUGACGGGG